GUUCAGAAGCAAGAGGCUUGGGAGAAAAUGAGUUUAAGCUCAUAAAAACACUCAAAGGGCACACUGGUCAUCAAACAGCUCUGAGCAAACUGCAUUUACAAAUGAAUCUGAAAACAUGUGGAUUCAAUUUUCUUUGAAAUGCCCAGAGGUUAAAAAAUUAAGGGGAGAAUGUUUGGCAGACAGAGCCUGGGGUUUGGCUAUGUGCACAAAUUUCUGAAAAAUAAAUUGAUUGUUUUGCCAGAGAGAAAGUAUUACCUGGUCCCCCUUCUCAAUCACAUCUCUAACUUAAUUAUCAGUGGCCCCAUUUCUCAUUGUGCUUGCAAAGUGGACAAGAGGGUUGAGUUCAUUUAAGAGAAAGCAAGUUUUACUCAUUUGCAGGGUGGCCUUCUGCGUGGCCGACUCAGACCCUCAGUACUGUCGUGGGUUUCAACCCAGUGACAAGGUCGGGAGAAAACGGUCUGCAGGCAAAAUCGUUUCCCCUCUGCCUCUUGCCUCCCAUCAUCCUCCACUCAUCAAGUUUUACCCCACUUUUUUUCCUUCUGCCCCCCCCAAAUAAUACCUUUUUUAUGACCAAAUAAACACAGGCAAAUGUGGAACUGUUUUAGAGCAAAUCCAAACUGUUUUAAAAGAUCAUGAAAAUAGAGUGGGUGGGGAAAAACUCCAUCUGUGAAAAAGCAGUGAUUAGCCUUAAAACAAUGUGAGGCCAACAGCACAGAGUCCCAUUACGAGAUGAUGUGUGGUGCCUGUAAGUGGCUGUUCCUGGUCUCUGAGGUAGCACAGCUGUCACGUGGUUCUGUUGUUGCCAUGGCGAUAAUCUGUAAUUGUGCAGAAAAUCCACAGAACUCCUGAGCAACUCCUUAGUGGAUUGGGCUGAAAGAAAAUCAAAUCCAUGAAAGCCCUGAAUUGAUGGGGUUAUGAAAGCGCAUUGGCCAAGCUGGUCCAGUGGAAGCCGACCUGAUUUUGUGGAUUUCCUUCCCCUGGCCCCUGUCUAGCUUGGGUGAACUCCAUCUUUAUGUAUAUCUUUCACACUUGCGUGUUUGUAACUAGUGAGAGGUAUAAAUCCUGGUCAGCUGGGGAAACGCUUCAGCUCCUUAGAAUUCUGAGCACACAGUUUGGAAUCUUCAGGAUGGGAAUACUAGCACUGAGGACCAAGGCCUGAUUUGUACACAUAGGUGAAAAAAGAUCAGAGGGUCCACAGGGCCGGGUGGGUCUUUCUUCUCCAGCAAUGGCACCAAGAACACAUCCUGGGCAGGAGACUAGAACAGCGAGGGUGUGUUGUUCCUGGGGUAACUUGGCAACCGAGUACACACACAUGCACAGCACACCCAUCUGAAGACGUGCCAAGGCUCGCCUGCUUUAAGGCAAAGCUAAUACAAACCAUUCCCCAAAUACAGCCGGGAAACAGAGGGUAGGUAGCAGUUCUCUCUCCUGCUCUAGAUGCUGCCUGACAUUUAUGCAUGUAUCAGCCAUCAACUCCAAAUGGUUGAGGCCAUGAGUGAGUGUGGGGGCCCCUGACAGAAAAUUGAGCAGGAAGAGGAGCCAGACAAAUCGCUCUCAUGUUCCAAACUUCAUUGAGAAUCCCAUGGGAAUGUAGCUUUCGAGGAGAUCCCAUGAGAACAUCUGGGAUGAAGAUGCUCACGCCAGGCCCUAAACCCAGACUCAUUAGUAAUAAUGCUUCGUUUUUUGCUCAUUUAUUUAUUUAUCCUCUCAUAUACCACAAGUAUGAUUUGCAUUCCUUUUGCCCAUUUUCCUAGUGGGAGCAGGAAAAGGAAGAUCGAGAACGAGCAUGAAGCUGUAUACCGGGUGCUUUCUCUUAGACACCCUCUCAUUUGAGGUUAAUUCAUGGCAGGCAACCCUUGCCUUAAUUUAGGCAGAAAGGAAUGUAACAUAGGAGAAAGGAGGGCUCAUGGAUUUGGAGAAAGUUUUGAGAAUCAGGGUAGGAAUCAGAUAAGAAUCUUACAGCUUUAGGAUCUGUGUAGCAAGAAAGAAUAUGAACAGUCUGCUCCGAGUUUAUUACUAGAAUAUGUAGCUAUUUGUCAUCUUUCUCAAGAUUCAAAGUCUUGGUGGGGUGAAAGGUCAACAGGCCUAAUUUGGACCCUGAACUUAAUCGCCUCUUUGAAAGGCUGACAUGAGAGAGGAAGACGGGAGAUGGUUGCCCUUAAAUUAGAGUCUCAUCGGGAUCCCAUGAAGUGGAUGAGAGGGGAUUUCUCAGGACAACAGUGAAAGUGCACUUGUGGGGGGAAAGGUAUUGAUAUGGUGAUAGUCACAGUUUUGGCUUGGGGAAGGGAGAGUCCAACAGCGAGUGUCCCCAAUACGGCUUGAAGGGAAAGUUGACUUAUGGUAGAACGCCUGAGCAAAGGCUUGCUGAGGAAAAUAGCAGAGGGAGGGUAGGUGGAUGGAAAGUGAGGGAGAGUCUAGAAAAUACUGUGUUUGGCAUCCUCUUCAUGAAAGACUCUAACGAAGAAACAGCCACCUGGUUUGAUACCACACCAUGCUAAUGGGACAGGCUCCCUGCUGGUCAAAGCUCUCGGUUAAUGUCCACUUCUCAGCAUGUCUGAUGAUGGGUUGAAGUUGACCGAUCAGCAAACUACUCAAUUAUAAGCCCAUCUUCUCCCUGUGGUGCCACUAAUUAAAACAGGAACCACAUUGCUACUCACACACUCUGUGGCAUUUCCCCUUCCCACAGCUGCGUUAGUCACAACCAUUAGCCAGUGUCAGUGAGACUCAGUCACCUUUUCCCUUUUUUCCAACCCCAUUCCUAUUUGGUGUGAAUUCAUCAGUGAAAAACCUUCUGUUUGGAUUAUUGAUCCCCCCCCCCCCACACACACCCUGUGCUAUGACAAAGGAGCACGUAUGGUGGGAGCUUUGAAAUGCAACCUCAGAAUGCAGCUCUGUGGGAAUCUCAGUGUUCUGGAAUGCUCUGACCUUUUGUCCUGCCAAGCACCAUCCCCCCACUCCGAUCAUGUCAUGAAGGAUAUUUCUACAUGCACUUAAUUUUUAAGAAGAGAGAGAGGAGGAGUUCCCAUCGUGGCGCAGUGGUUAAUGAAUCAGACUAGGAACCAUGAGGUUGUGGGUUCGAUCCCUGGCCUUGCUCAGUGGGGUAAGGAUUUGGCAUUGUCGUGAGCUGUGGUGCGGGUCACAGACGUGGCUCGGAUCUGCAUUGCUGUGGCUCUGGUGUAGGCUGGCGGCUACAGCUCUGAUUAGACCCCUAGUGUGGGAACCUUCAUAUGCCACAGGAGCAGCCCUAGAAAAGGCAAAAAG
rnacentral:lncRNA from 1 species